rfam:Myotis brandtii contig275275, whole genome shotgun sequence.
UGUGCACUGGUGGGGUCCCUCAGCCUGGCCUGUGCCCUCUCGCAAUCUGGGACCCCUCGGGGGCCGGUUUUGGCCCAAUCCCGCAGGCCAGGCUGAGGGACCCCACUGGUGCAUG